GUGGUGGCUCAGUGGUAAAGCGCUUGCCUAGCACGCAUGAGGCACUGGGUUCGAUCCUCAGCCCACA
rnacentral:tRNA from 1 species